UCUCGGCAACGGAUAUCUCGGCUCUCGCAUCGAUGAAGAACGUAGCGAAAUGCGAUACCUGGUGUGAAUUGCAGAAUCCCGUGAACCAUCGAGUCUUUGAACGCAAGUUGCGCCCGAGGCCAUCCGGCCAAGGGCACGCCUGCCUGGGCAUCACG
rnacentral:rRNA from 1 species